rnacentral:rRNA from 1 species
AGCGAACGCUGGCGGCAGGCUUAACACAUGCAAGUCGAGCGGGCACUUCGGGGUCAGCGGCGGACGGGUGAGUAACGCGUGGGAACGUGCCUUCUGGUUCGGAAUAACCCUGGGAAACUAGGGCUAAUACCGGAUACGCCAUUAUGGGGAAAGGUUUACUGCCGGAAGAUCGGCCCGCGCCUGAUUAGCUAGUUGGGGGGGUAACGGCCUACCAAGGCGACGAUCAGUAGCUGGGCUGAGAGGAUGAUCAGCCACACUGGGACUGAGAUACGGCGGAGACUUCUCCGGGAGGCAGCAAUAGGGAAUAUUGGACGAUGGGCGCAUGAAUAAUCCAGCCAUGCCGCGUGAGUGAUGAAGGCCUUAGGGUUGUAAAGCUCUUUUAUCCGGGACGAUAAUGACGGUACCGGAGGAAAAAGCCCCGGCUAACUUCGUGCCAGCAGCCGCCGUAA